CACACUCCUCCCGGUAGCUCGGCUGACGGCUAUAACAACAGUAUUAAGUGAUUAUUUGGUUAAAUAUAUUAUUGAAAAGGCUCGCGAUAUAACAAGAUAUACAAAACAAAGAUGCCGGAUUUGGUGUAUAUCACAUGGAAUAGUUGCAAGAUGCGAUCAUUGUAUUAAUAUUAAAGAUUUGGAUGAAAUUUGUGCUGGAAAUACGAAGGACAAUAACGGCACAUGCCUGCGUCAGAAAUGUCUUAUGCGUCUGCAGUUUGGUUGGCUUCUUUUUGGGAGUUGGAUGAUGAAACUGACAGCAGUUCGGGCAGUUGUUUGGAUUAUUUUGAUGACGACUUUCUUUUCAAACAUUUCCAUUUCACGAGAUCUGCCGUUUGUUUCAUUAUUGAUUAUGUUGGAGCCCAAUUGGAACGAGCCAAAUACUGCUCCAACGAGCUUUCUUCUGAUGUUAUGGUGCUGGCCGCAUUGUGUGUUUACGCAAAUGGAUUUUUGCCAAAUGAAAUAGCAGAUAUGAUUGGAAUAAGCCAGCCAUCUGCCAGUCGAGCAGUUAAUAUGGUGUCCAGGAUCUUGUCUGACAAAGCUGAAGAGUUUAUCACAUUUCCGAACAGUUACAAUGAUCGGGUACUUGUCGCACAAGAGAUCCAGAGGUUUGGCGGUAUACCAAAUGGAGUCGGUGUCCUGGGAUGCAUGCACGUGCGCAUCAUACCAACCCCAGAGGAGGAGACCUUUUUUUUGAACUCAUUCGAUUAUCACUCCAUAAUGUUCCAAAUUAUCUGUGACUCCCAAGGCAAUUUAUUAAGUGUAGAGAGUCAGUGGCCAGGAAGCACUUCAGAGCAAAGCAUCUGGGAGAGUUCAAAAAUCAGCCAAAAAUUUAAAAGUGGUAGGCAUGGGCACAGUUGGCUCAUUGGUGCCAGCUGUUAUUCUCUGGAAAGGCAUGUCCUGACUCCUCUCGCCUAUGUGAGAAAGAGACCCAGCAUGCGAUACAAUGAAGCCCACUUCAAAAUCCAGACUGUCAUUCAGAAGACUUUUGGUCUUCUGAAGUCACGAUUUCGGUGCCUGGAGAAUUUGGGAAGCAUACAGAAGAACAACUGCAGCACACAUACUGAAAUGGUCAAUGCUUGUUGUGUUCUACACAACAUUGCCAUGAAAUUUUCUGUUCCUUUGCCUCAGCAUUUUGUGCCAGAACCUCGCUAUCAUGGUGUAAAUCGAGAAGAGAUUACACAGUCAAAUUCCAGCAUGCUACUUUUCAGAGAAGACAUGAUAAAAGCUUUUUUUUCCCAGGAUUCAGAUCCUGUACCAGGGAUUUUUGUUGGUUUUGAAAGGAUGUAGAGAGAUGUAAAAUAUUACAUUUUAGGCAUUUUCAUGGAAUUUUGGAUAUUGUAUAUUCUGAUAUCUGUUCAUUUUUUCCAGCUCUAUUCAAAAUGAAGGUGGUGCUCAUAAGAACAAUAUCUUAAAGUGUACAGCAACACCAGCUUUUGGCCUGUCUCCGCACACUUCACAAUUUUAAAAGAUGCAAAUUGAGGUCCACUGUGAGAGCACAGAGGGGGAGGGACAAUAUAACCAGUUGGUAAGGUGUCAGGCAUGUUUGGGCUACCUGAUCCCUCGGACACUGGGCGUUACUAACUAACUACUUAAGUACUAAAGAACAAUGUGGAUAAUUGAACUGGACUGGAGCAAAAUGAUUGAACUAAAAUCAUUUUUACUCAAGCUAAUCAUAACUCGCCGGCAUAUACAAAAUUGACCUGGACCUAGAUUACCCUGCAUGUCCACCAGACCACUAUCAGCAACACCCGGCAUGGCUGCCCCUGCACCCAACCACCAAGGAGCAGAGUCCAGUGCUGCGAGACCCCCACUUUCCAGCAGUGGGGCUGCGGAUAGCUGAGUCAGGCAACAGCCUCAGCAAGCCCAGAUUCCACGGGAAAGGUAAUUUCCACCACGGGCGAACUGCACAGAAUGCCAAAACCCCAGAGUGGGUUAGGAAGACCAGGGUCUGACGGUCCUGCAACUCGUCUCUGGAAGCUGUCAAUAGUUGCAGGCCGUGUGUGAGGACCUGCAGAUCCGACUCAGGUAGGUGCGGUGGAGAAGGUUUGGUGAAACUGUUAAUGAUGUUCUUGAGAGACUUACAGAAAAAUACGAUGCACACAGCGGAAUGGAGAAACCUUGAGAUAACAUGCCAGUCUCACCCCGUACGGAACCCAGCUGACUAACUGCUUCAUGGACGGUUUGCGGAAAGAGCUGGCUUCAGCAAAAGGAUACUGGACUUUGGGAAACGGCUCCCCAGGGUAAUGUCACGAUCCAAAACCCUGGAUGGAAUGGCUGGACUCAGAUGCCACAGGGCGCUGGUGUUUUCCCAAAAUCCUGGCAGCCAAACUGGAUUGCAAGGACAAUGAAGGUGCACAGGGCGCAUGCACGGGGUGGUGAGUCCGCGGGUUUUCUAUAUCGAACACCUGCAAAUUCAUUACCAAUUGGGUCGUUAAAAGUAAAUAGGCGAGCAUGAGACUUUAUUGUAAAUAUGGGGGCUGGUCAUUCUGUAAUAACAGCAAAAUUGUGGGGAUCAAAGCCUCCACCUUGUGGAAAAACUAUGGUCAGUCAAGAUGCCGGAGGAGGUAAUACAACAGAAAAGUUUAUAAUUCCUUUACUGGUUCAGGAUAACAAUGCGGGUUCUACUAUCAUUUUAAAACAUACAUUUAUAUUCUCUCCUGUAUGUCUGGUAAACCUGCUUGGCAGAGAUAUUAGGAUUGGUUGUAGAAUGCACAAAUGACGGUUUAACAAUUGGUAGAAUGAACAGUGUAGAAAACCUUUAAAUGUACUUCUAUGCGUGGGAUCUGGACAGAUGCCCAGGCACAGCUAAGGCCAGGUAAAUAUGCCAGUGAGAAUUAAAGGAAAACUGCAUGCAGGGAAGGAGUAGAGAUUUUGAAUAUGAGGAGAAAUGGUAUGGUGAAACAAAAUUGUGUACCAAAUUGUUUUUGGUAGGACAAGAUUUUUGCAUUGUCUGUACAACUGAGCUCAGCACAACUGCCAUUUUUUGUACCAUUUUGGGAAGUGCACCCCAUGUGUCUGUGUGUAAAGCCUCAAACAAAAAAUGGGAGGACACAGGACCCUGGGUUAAAUUAUGUUUGGACUAGAGACUGGGAAGAGAGGAGAACUCACAAAAUAUUCUCCCUCUCUGUGUGAUACUGCACACCAGUUUCCAGAUUCUCUGACAGCAUUCAUGCAUUGCCUUGUGACACUCACAUGUAUUUGCAUGUGUCAGACCCAAAACUGAGUGCAAUUCCCUCUCAAUUGUGGGCCAUGCCCAAAUACGAUGUGGGGCUCAUGACUGGGGCUACUCUACUUCAAGUUACCCCUAAAGUCAGAGUACAAGCCAUGUAAACGCAAAUGUCCCCACCGCCCAGAGGCUGAGGAAGGAAUUGGCCCUGUUUUUCAUGCGUUGUUCAAAGCUGGUGUUGUGGUUCCCUGCCCUAACUCUCCGUGCAAUACAAUUCUGCCUGUAAAAAAAACAGGUGUAAACACUGUGCUCCAGUUGUAUAUAACCUAAACUACUAGUGUGGCCCAAGUCCCGGGCAAUGCAAAACAUUUCACUGUGAUCGAUCUUGCUAAUGUUUUUAAUUUUUUCUCAGUAUGCCGGUUGAUCUUGAUUCCCAGUACUGGUUUGCUUUUACGUUUAAGACAAAACGGUACACCUGGUCUAGAUUACCACAAGGGUAUUCUCUGCUGCUCUGUAGGAUAAUUCAAAAUAGUUCCAAAUACUAAUUCAGUAUGUUGUUGACAUUCUGAAUUCAAGAUUCACUCAAUCUGCUAAAAUUCCUAGUAACAGGGCAGCAAGGUCAAACAAGAAAAACUCCAGUUCAAUCCACCCUGAUUGAAGUUAUACAUCUAGGCCACAAAAUCUCUAAAGCAGGAAAAUAUUUGGGAAUUGACAGAAUCCAGGCGAUUCUCAAUUCUCCUAAACUCCAAAGUAAAAAAAAAAUUCUCUCUUCUAGGCAUGACAGGUUAUUGUAGUCAGUGGAUCCCUGACUACUUGACCCAUGGCCUAAAUCUCUCUGCUAACGAUAAGGUUACAUGGACAGAGAUUGCUGACGUAUUUUCAGAAAUUAAAAUGAGAACUGACAUCAGCCCCGACUUUGGGCCUUCAUUUCAUUUUCAUUUUCAUUUUAGUCAUUUGGCAGACGCUUUUAAUCCAAAGCGAUUUACAAGUGCAUAGGUUCUACCAUAAGUCAAAGCAUCACAUCCAGAAACUAGCAAAAUACACAUGAAAUGCUGUUCUAAACAUAGUUGUCAUCAU